GGACUGUGGCUCAGUGGUAGAGUGCACACCUAGCACGGGCGAGACCCUGGGUUCAAUCCUUAGCACCA
rnacentral:tRNA from 1 species